ACUUUUUCGGUCACAUACACAUCAUUAUCUCUUGUUUCAUCUUCAUCAUCACUACUCAGUACACAGCUGUCCGACUGUCGCUGGCUUCUUAGUCUAAGAUUUCUCCUUUGUCUGUGCUGUUCACUACUUACCACAACGGAAUCAUUGUGAGUUAGAUCAACGACCACAGGAUCUGAAGAUUCACAUGUGAGAUCUACUACUUCUUCACCAGCUGAAAAACAGAAUGUUAGAAUCAAGAUCAGAGAUUGCAGAGGAGUAAAAUUGCCUGCCACUGUACAACAGGCCAAGGUUCAACCACGUUCUGUCCAUUUUAUCUAUAAGAAUGUGUCCAACACUUCACUCAAGUUUUGCCCUCAGCAGUCCACACAGAGCAUUACCUGCCCUGUCUUCUGCAAGCUGCAAUGCAAGGGGAACAGCAGCUGAGCUCCUCACACAGUUCUGUUGGAUAAUACAGCUUGUGGGAGGCACACAGCAACAGACAACUCAUCUGACACAGCAGAAUGUUCAUCACACAGAAAAAAAAUAAUAACUUUAAAGUACCGUGCUGCACAUGUUCCCUUCAAAUGGGACACAACUAAUGACAGAGCUUUUCUUAUCUUUUUCAAACCUAGGAGUUCCCAAACUUAGUUUGCCACUCUCUGUAGUGGCAGCUGCAGUGACUCCCAGCUCACCAGAGUAGACUUCCAGAUGUUUGAGCAGCUUUUGAGGACCUUUCCUAUGCAACUCAUCCAUCACUAGUGGUAAAUGUAUCGUAGCUCAGUACUAAAUCAAACCAGUUGUCAGUAGGCUUGUUAUUUCAAGAUGCCAUACUAGGGGCUUCCAUACUAGGUUUCCCUUCCUGUAUAGUAAAGGGCCCAGGAACUAACAUUUUCCAGGUUAAAACACACUUUCAGUUGAACACCAAGGCUCCAGAAGCAGUUUCUGUUCUUACCAAGUUCAAAAGAAAGCUUACCGCUUUCUUCAAGUUCGAUUGGCUCUGCUUCUGACGCCAUUUCUGCAGUGGAAGCCGUGAGCCUGUUUCUUUUUCGACCUUGCCUGGAAUUAACUGCUCCUCCACGGCGCUUUCGUUGAGUCUAAGAGAGAACAAAGACUUAGCAUUUUCUGUGUGAGCAAUAGUAAUGUGGCCCUCGAUUUUGCAACACCAACGAAAGCACACAAGGAUACAGACAACAGUCCUGGAAUGACUGGGGCAUUCAUUGAAUGGUGGUAUGAGUUAUUCCUACCUGAAUGCAUGGUAUCCAUGAAAAGACAUCACCCCAGAUCUCUUACCAGUUGCCUCAUCAAGAAAAAGCCUAUCAUGAUGGUUUGGAAAUGAGAAGACUAGUUCACAAUUUAUCAGGUUUUUGCUCACAUUGUAAGCAUUUCUGAACUACUGCUAAAACCUAGAGGGAUUCAAAAUCUUCAUUACCACUGAACAUAAAGUUACAUGAAGAUUUAAUAUACUUAUGUUCCUGUGUAUUAGCUACAAACUCUUAAAAUAAUUUUCAGAAGUACCAUGGAAAACAUAUUUCAAGAAUCAGGAUUGCAUUGAGUAGUGAAAUACUUACUGUGCUCAUAGUGUUUCUUGAUCUAAAACCACCGAUCAAGAGGUACACACAACAAAAAAGUAAUGGCAAGGAAGCUAAAACUAUAAGUUCCUUGGAUUCCUUUAAGUA